rnacentral:rRNA from 1 species
UAAUACGGAGGGUCCAAGCGUUAUCCGGAAUCAUUGGGUUUAAAGGGUCCGUAGGCGGGCAAUUAAGUCAGAGGUGAAAUCCCACAGCUCAACUGUGGAACUGCCUUUGAUACUGGUUGUCUUGAGUUACAGUGAAGUAGAUAGAAUAUGUAGUGUAGCGGUGAAAUGCAUAGAUAUUACAUAGAAUACCGAUUGCGAAGGCAGUCUACUAACUGUAUACUGACGCUAAUGGACGAAAGCGUGGGGAGCGAACAGGAUUAGAUACCCUGGUAGUCCACGCCGUAAACGAUGGUCACUAGUUGUUGGGGUCUUGUACCUCAGUGAUUAAGAGAAAUUGAUAAGUGACCCACCUGGGGAGUACGAUCGCAAGAUUG